UUCCCGCCCCACCCUGUCCCGUCCCUCCCACCAACUCCCGGCUUAGGAGCCUGCAGCUUUGGACUCGGGUGGUGGCCUCUCCGCCUCCUCCUUGGCUGACACCUGGCUGGGAGGAGCCCUGGGCAGGCGGCACAGCUGGAGUCUUGCUGAGUAAGAAGAAUCACGUUGAGGAAAGGAUCCAGGAGGUACUGGGCCCUCCUUGCCUUCCACAGGCACGGCCUGUGGGAAUGAGGCCACCGAUGACAUUGUGAGUGAGAGGACUUGAGCUGAUGAGCUGUCCUAGAACAAGCCCAGGGCAGGCCCAGGCACACAAGAGCAGCACACGGUGUUCCUUAAUUUAUCUACUAGGUUCGCUUUUAUUCACCCUUCUGGAUGCACGAAAACCCUCUCUCUCACCAAUUGUGGUGGCUCAGGCCUCUAAUCCCAGCCAGCACUCAGGAGGCAGAGACAGGGAGCUCUCUCUUUGUCCCAGGCUAUCCAGGGCUACACAGUGUCUAUCUCAAACAAACAAACACAAAAUCAAACAAACAAAAAUCAAACUACCUCUGGAGAAGGCCUCCCUCUGGGAAAGGGUGACUGACCCCUUGCUUACAAGGGGUUUCUCUCAACUCCGAUGAGCAGAACCACCUUCAAGACCUUGACAGACAGAGCCUGCUUCCCAACCCUGGCCCAGCUCUCUGCAGCCUGGACUACUAGAAUGCAUGGUGCAGGUGGCUGUCUUUGCAGUUUCCAAAAAGAUGGAAAAACGGCCCCUCCUCAAAAAGGGCUGAGGAGCUAUCAAGAAAGCCCAAUUUUCUCCCAGGGACUCUGAGAGGAAGCAUGUGUGGGAGGAAAGCCGGGCGAGUUUGGGGCCUAGGGUGAGUCUUACAGUUUGGUGGAGGCAAGAAGCACCCCAAGAGUACCAGCCUGAGGCCUCAUUCUGGAGUUCCAGCUGUUGCUCCAUAGGCUGAGACUACAGACCACUGGAACCGCAGGGAUGACCGGUUGAGCCUUGGUGGUCAACUUUGGCGGCGAGUUCCAGCUGGUGACACAGCUCCAGGCGGUUUUUCAAGCACCGCUUAGCCCCAAGGUGACUCUGGCUGGUGGCGAGGGUGGCAGGCCGCGCAUCCAGAGCCCUCAGCAGGCGCGGCAGGUCACGAAGCAGGCGGUAGCGCGGCAGAGUGCGCAGAGGCCGGGGGAUGUCGCCUUUGGGGCAGAGGCGACUGAAGUAGGCAAGCAGCAGCCGGCUUGGGGCAGCGCAGAGCAGGGUGCGAAGGGACGCGGUGCGUGGGUCGCCGCCGCUGCCGGCCAGGCUGGGGCCUGCACAGCUCCACAGCAGCAGCACGGUGCCCUGCUCCCGCGCCACGCGCUCCCGCGCCGCCCAGAGCCACGGCAGUGGUCCAAUGCGUGCCACAUGCGUCCCCUCCCAGAGAUCCACGAUGACGUCGCGCCCGCCGCCCAGCGCGGUCCGCAGCAGUUCGGCCAACGCUCCCACCAGACGCCGCUGUGCCUCUGAGUCCGCUGCGUGCAGUAGUAGAAUUGGCCGCGCUUGACCUGGGCCUGGGGACCCGAGCAACAGCUGAGUCAGGCUCGGUCAAAAGGUGCUAGGAACGUCGGAAUCCCUGGCUACCCCAGGCGAGCUUACCUGGCAGUAGGCACCGACAGAGGAGGCUCAGAACUAUGCCCAGGAGAGUGGCGAGGCCCAGCAGUGCCAGGAUCAAGAGCCCCAGGUGCCUAUGGGAGACUGAAUCAAGCAGGGUGAAGCCAAGCCACCGAAGACAGUGCCCAAGCUCCGUCUCCUCUCAUCCAAGAACUAACUCACCAUCAGGACACAAAAGGUGCUUCCAGGCAAACUGGACAUCUGACCUCCACACCUGAGGACACAGGGCCCCACUCGUGUAAAGGGCCCAGUGGCACCUCCAGAAGACUUUCUGUGCCGCCAUGAGGAAGAAGGUGGGCACAGCCAUUGUCUCCGUCCUGCACACGUGUGUGUCUCUCACUUCCCUGCACAGCUGAGGAGGCGUCUUGUCCGCCGGGAAGAAUGAGCUGUAAAGACUGGUGGCCUAGGUCGAGUCUUCGCUAUCGUCUUUCUAGUUCCCGGGUUUGUGACCUUUCCGUGGAUUUGAAUGAUAUCUCCUCCCUCCCCAGUCUCAGAUUCUUUAUUUGCAUAUGAGGGCCAAUAAUCUCUGUCGGGUUACUGGAAGCAUUAAAUGGAAAUAUGCAUAUGGAUGAUUUUAAUAAACUGAUGUUAGAAGCAGCUGUUAUCAGGCUAAGAAACGGGGGA